rnacentral:tRNA from 1 species
GCCUGGGUGGCUCAGUUGGUUGAGCAUCUGACUUCGGCUCAGGUCAUGAUCUGGCACUCUGUGAGUUCAAGCCCCGCGUCGGGCU